rnacentral:lncRNA from 1 species
GGAAGGGAAGGGGGUCAGGGAAGGCCUCCUUAAGGAAGCUGCCAGUUAAAUGAAGCCCCAAAUGCUGAGCAGGAAGCGGCCAGAUGAACAGAAUAGGGGAGGGUUGUCUAUGGCCAUACUAUCCUGAGCGCACCCCAUCUCCUCUGAUCUCGGAAGCUCAGCAGGGUCGGGCCUGAGACGGGGUUUCACCAUGUUGGCCAGGCUGGUCUCGAAUUCCUGACUUCAAGUGAUGGGCCUGCCUCAAUGUCCAAAAUUGCUGGGAUUCCAGGAGUGAGCCACCACGUCCGGUCCUGCCAUCAUUCUUAACAAGAGCGCCCCCACCAUCGUCCAGGGAGAGAUGGAAUAUCCAGAGAAGAACAGAGCUCACAGAAGAGUAAAUUAAACAACUGAAGGAAGGUCCCUGUGAGCUGCAGUCCCGGGAGAAGAGGAAACCCUUCAACAUGGAUUCUGGAAAGAACAGCCUUGGCUUUCUUCUGAACAAAAAGUUCUGGCCCAGCUGGACCCGGGGUGGGCACCGGGAGUGCAGGCUGCUAGUCCUCUCCUGCCAGCUUUGCGAGGCGUGGGGAGCACCUGCAGCAUGGCUCACCUGAACCCAGUCCCCAGGCCCAUGGCCUCCGAGAGAUGAACACUGGCUGCCCAGAAGCAGGUGUGGGUAGGAGGGCAGAGGGACUGCCCGCAGGCGUCCCUGGGCUCCCUGGCUCCUUUCUGCUGAUGUGCCGCCUCAGUCGGACAGAGGUUUCAACACACUUGUACCCUUCUCAACACAGGCCAGGCGUCUCCGGGGCCUGGAAGAAAACCAAGGUCAGGGGAUCUCCUAGUUCAACAAGGGAGAACAACAUGUAAGGAAGAUAAAAAUUAAAGCCGUGUCGGAUGUG